CGAGCCUCUGGAGAGACUCAGAAUGAGCACCGAAGGAGCAAAAUAGGGCUAACGCUCUAUUGAAACUUUCAGGUAAAAGGACAGGGGAUA
rnacentral:ncRNA from 1 species